GACGUCUCCUCCCCCACCUCCGGAGACGAAACAGGGGCCGCAGCCCGUGGGAGUCGCGGGACCCAGAGUCCCCAGAACCUCCAGGGAAGAAGCGCAGGAAGAGGCGGAGUCCCGAGGAGGAGAGAUGAAGGGGGAUUCCGGGAACUGGAAGCCGGGAGGCGGCCUUUGCCCUACUUCCGAGAUGCCAGAGGUCCCCACCCAGGUCAAGCAGAUCAAUUAGACAAGAUGCCUAGUUGAGAGGACCUCACAGAUACGGUCACAUGAUCUGUGACCCGGUGUUCCCUAGAAGGAAGGCAGUCUUCCCACCAACAGCCUGCUGCAGCUUGUAUGACCUAUCCCCUGCGACAUGGCCCUCAUCUUGAUUCUCCUGGAGAGAGAGUCUUGGAACCCGUUAACAAUCAGAGCCCGUGGGGAGACCCCGUUCAUUAAUGUGUAUUUUGCCUGCAAGAACGCUUGUGCAUCAGCUGUGUGAAGUAACAACAGAAAUCAGGGAAGUGCAUCGGAUCCCCUGGAACUGGAGCUAGAGAGGAAUGUGUGCCGCCUCCGUGUGGGUUCUGGGAACCCAAGGGAAGUCCUCUCGGGAGCAGUAAGCGUCCUUAACCACUGGACCAUCCCUCAAGCUCCUAGAUAUGACUUUUUAUUUCACUCGACAGCUUCAAAGGUCAUAUGGCUCGAUAUAGUCAGCUUUAUAAGAAACUACCUCGUUAUCUCUUAAAGCGGCCGUGUUGUACAGAAUUCCCACCAGCAAGGAAUGUAAGUCCCUGUUAUCCUCGCCAGCGCUUGUCAUCAGUGGCAGAUUUUAGACAUUGCUGUGUGGCAGUUUCCUUUUAGAUUGAAACAUUCUUUCAGGGAAGCUCCUUAAGAUGACAUGAACGACCUAAAGCAGCUGACAAGAUUCACUAGGCCCCUCUGUCCGGAGAGUAAACAGCAGAGGGUGCUGAGGAUUGCUCUCCGUGAGCCAAGCUGCAAAGAAACCCUGAGACCAGAGAGUUGCCUGGAAGAAGCAGAAACCAGUCUAACUUCCUGGAAAAGGCUCGGAUCAGCCGAGACACCUGGAAAGGACGCUCCCCAACCUGUUGAGCUGACUGCAGGCUGUGCAGUGUGCUCCAGGUCCCCAGCUCUGGGAACUGUCACACGUGCUGGGGUUAGCCCUGGUAUCGGGUUAGAGUCACUUCUGCUGCUGUGAGUAACCCCUCACGCAUGUUCCUGUAUGCGACCCCUCAUCCAUGUUCCCGUGAGUAACCCCUCACCCAUGUUCCCGAGAGUAACCCCUCACCCAUGUUUUUGUAAGCAACCCCUGUAAAACACCUUGGUCACCUGGGUGGACUUUGGGGGCGUUUACACUUGUUCUGUCAUGGGCUUCCUAUUUUGGGUGAGUAGAUAUUUGUGUCGUGUCUCCCCAGGAAAAGCCUGCCGCACAAAAGCCAUUCUUAAAGAUGUGCCGUUGUUUAAGGUGAUAUUUUGGAGAUGGAAAGUUGUCCGGCAUGACCGUAGUUUAUUGGGAAUGAUCCUAGGAGCAGGGCCACGUUGGUAAGGGCGAUACAGACAAGGCUGGCAUGUCUGAGGUGGGAUGGAGAGUCCAGGAACACAGAGAAGGGCUGCCUCUCCACAGAAGAAGGCACUCGGUUGGCAUCUUUUGUAAUGAAGGGAGCUCAUAUGUAUAUUUGGGGGAAGGUCAGAGAGUCCCCAGUGACAACUUCUGCUUUUUACAGGAAGUGUGUGGCGGUGCUUUCUUGCAGAGGAGAGGGCCUGUGGCAAGAGCCAUGAAAGAGAUUUGUGGAGAAGGAACAUUCUAGCUAUGGAGUGCAUGUGUGUGUCAGAGGCUUCAUGGAGGAAGAGAAUUCGGUGAAGCUGUCUGAGCUGCAGGUCUGGUCCUCCUGUUCCUAGGAUCUCCUACCCAGAACCUUCCUGUUCUUCCAGGACAGUGGAGAGAGCCCCAAAUAUCACGCCCGGAGAGCUGGGGUCAGUCCUGCGUCCAGUGGGAAUGCACCCGGGGUCAGAUUUACAUUUGAUGUCAAGUUCUGGACUCCAGCAUCCUCUUGGCAGGUCCUGGCUGACGCUCCAGAUGGUUGUACCCUUCCGAUGGGUCAUGAACAUCCCUGAAACCUGCACGUGCGAGGCAGGGUCCCUACCAUUCUCUAAGGCCGCAUUCUCACCUGCCAGCCGGCUUCUUCCCACCAAGCCCGUGCCCCUGCAGCCGAGCAGAUCAACAUGCGAGCUUACGGUGUCGCCCUCGUGUUUAGGGACUGCGUCUGCAGGGUGUCUUUCCAGAGUGACAAUGACUCCACCUUUCUACACAGUGAUCUGAGUUCCCUUAAAAUUAUCUACUUACUGUGUUGUGUGUGUGUGUGUGAGAGAGAGAGAGAGAGAGAGAGAGAGAGAGAGAGAGAGAGAGAGAGAGAGAGAGAGAGAGAGAGAGAGAGAGAGAGAGAGAGAGAGAGAGAGAGAGAACCUCUGCCACCCACAUCCUUUGAGACUCAGUGUCUCACUAGGCUAGAAUGGCUGGCCAAGCAACCCCAGGGAUCCUCCUGUCUCUGCUUCCUUAGUGUUGAGUGGGAAUAGAAGAGUAUACCGCCGCACCCACGUGUUUACACGGGCUCUAGGAUUUCACUCAGGUCUUUAGGUUUGCAAGGCCUGUGCUUGACUGAAGAAGCCGUUUCCGCAGAACGGUAUUCUAAACUCGAAAGAGAGGUACCGAGAUGCUCAGAGAUUUCAGUUCCUGAUGGUUUGGGAGACACGGCAGUGUCAGGGCAGCAGGAGUGUCUAGCGGAGAAUCUUUACCUGUCCUGAGCCACGACGAAUCAGAGCUUGAUUGGAGCCCGGGCUGGGCUAAAACCUUUGAAGGCCCAUCCCUAGUGGUCUGGGGACCUGAACUCAGGUCCUAAUGCUUGCCUGGCAAAUGCCUUAUCAACUGUACCAUCUCCCCACUGUCCUCCCCGAAUAUUUUAUAUAUUUUUAAAAUAUGUAUUUAUUAUGUACAGUGUUCUGUCUGCAUGUAUGCCUGCAGGUCAGAAGAGGGCGCCAGAUUUCACUGCAGAUGAUUGUGAGACACCAUGUGGUUGCGGGGAAUUGAACUCAGGACCUCUGUAAGAGCAGCCAGUGCUCUUAACCUCUGAGCCAUCUCUCCAACACCCCCCCCCCAAACAUUUUAAAUAUAAGGCUGGUUGAGUCUGUGGAUUCAGAACCUGCAGAAGUGGAAGGUUUGGCCGGAAUUCCCGCAAAACUGUAAAGCUAUAGCCAUGGCUCUGGACUUAAAGGAGCUGCAGCACUUGCAAAGAAAGAGCCUAGACUUGUGCUCCCGGCAAUUUCUCUGAGUAGGAGGGCAGCACCCAGUGCAGUCUCCAGGACUAUUUUAUUGUGUAGUUCCUCCCUGUCUAUCUCUUGAGCAGUGUGGCCAGGGAAAGUGAGAAUUGCAUUUGUUUGCCAACAAUAGUGUUUGGGUUCAGAGUCCCGAUUAACUGAUUGAUCAGAGAGUGAGAGGUAGGAAGGAGAGAAAGUUGAGAUGAUAAAGCAGGAAGAACAGGAGUUGGUAAGAACCCUGGCUUUGGUGAACUGGGCUUCAAGUGGGUUGUGGUCGACCUGAUGUGGCCAUGGCAUGGGAGGGCGUCUUGGCCAAAGCAAUGAGAUAGGUGACUAGACGUGUGUGCACGCGUGUGUGUGUGUGUGCGCAUGCGUGUAUGUGUGCGUAUGUACAUGCGUGUAUGUGUGUGUACAUGCGUGACUGCGUGUGUGUGCAUGUGUGUGUGUGUGUGUGCGUGUGUGUCUGCUAUCAUUUAGUGUUCACACCCCAGUGAUGGGGUGUGAACUUCAGAACAGAGUGUUCUGUAGGGAAAAUCACAUUCAAUGUUGAUAAAGAGACAUACGAAUUUGGAUAUAUGUAUACACUGUAUAUAUGCAUUGGUGUAUGGCAAUAUAGUCAAGUAUCAAGAAAUAUAUAGUUGAGUGUAAAACAGAAAUAGGUUCUAAGGCUGAAUAGUCGCAAACAGGGAUGUCCCUCCGAAGAUGUAGCCAUGGAUUCGUCACGGAAGACGGUCGUGAGAUUACCCCAUGGCCACCAUCCUUGGCCUCUGCUCAUCACACGUUGAUAGCACUCACCCCAUCGUCAUGAUGCCAGUGCGGCCCUCCUAACGUUCUACAAGGUCCCCCGGGAAUGACUGCUCCCGGGCAGAACCUCUGCCCGGCCAGGACGAUGGCAGGGCAAAGGUUAGACAUGGGUAGGUACAUGAUGUAGAACACGGUGCUAGUUUGGCCAUGCAGCAAGGGUUAUACAGGAAACGAACUCGGCUCCUGGCACCUGGGGUUAGGUGCCUGCUAAUAACAGAUAAGAUAUUAAGUCAGGUGGUGAUGCUAUUUCCUAAAGUGGAGUGCUGCUUAGUUUCGACUGUUGAAUCGCCUGGGAGGAGAAUCUUAAUGGGGAAUUAUCUAGUUCAGGUUGGUCUGUAUGCAUGGGAGCAGGGGUCUAGAUUUGGUGAUUGAUGUCGGAGGAUCCAGUCCACCGUGGGUAGCACCAUCCCCUAGGCUGGGUCCCUGAAGUGGGUGCAUUCUUCUCUCGCUGCUCUUGGCUGUGGAUGUGGCGUGACUAGCUGCUUGAAUUCCUACCUUGACUUCCCUAACAUGAUGGAGCUGUCACCGAAUAAACCUUUUCCACCCUG